rnacentral:rRNA from 1 species
GGCGAGGGGAGUGAAAAAGAACCUGAAACCGUGUACGUACAAGCAGUGGGAGCACAGGUUUACCUGUGUGACUGCGUACCUUUUGUAUAAUGGGUCAGCGACUUAUAUUCUGUAGCAAGGUUAACCGAAUAGGGGAGCCGGAGGGAAACCGAGUCUUAACCGGGCGUUAAGUUGCAGGGUAUAGACCCGAAACCCGGUGAUCUAGCCAUGGGCAGGUUGAAGGUUGGGUAACACUAACUGGAGGACCGAACCGACUAAUGUUGAAAAAUUAGCGGAUGACCUGUGGCUGGGGGUGAAAGGCCAAUCAAACCGGGAGAUAGCUGGUUCUCCCCGAAAGCUAUUUAGGUAGCGCCUCGUGAAUUCAUCUCCGGGGGUAGAGCACUGUUUCGGCUAGGGGGCCAUCCCGGCUUACCAACCCGAUGCAAACUGCGAAUACCGGAGAAUGUUAUCACGGGAGACACACGGCGGGUGCUAACGUCCGUCGUGAAGAGGGAAACAACCCAGACCGCCAGCUAAGGUCCCAAAGUCAUGGUUAAGUGGGAAACGAUGUGGGAAGGCCCAGACAGCCAGGAUGUUGGCUUAGAAGCAGCCAUCAUUUAAAGAAAGCGUAAUAGCUCACUGGUCGAGUCGGCCUGCGCGGAAGAUGUAACGGGGCUAAACCAUGCACCGAAGCUGCGGCAGCGACACUCAGGUGUUGUUGGGUAGGGGAGCGUUCUGUAAGCCUGUGAAGGUGGCCUGUGAGGGUUGCUGGAGGUAUCAGAAGUGCGAAUGCUGACAUAAGUAACGAUAAAGCGGGUGAAAAGCCCGCUCGCCGGAAGACCAAGGGUUCCUGUCCAACGUUAAUCGGGGCAGGGUGAGUCGACCCCUAAGGCGAGGCCGAAAGGCGUAGUCGAUGGGAAACGGGUUAAUAUUCCCGUACUUGGUGUUACUGCGAAGGGGGGACGGAGAAGGCUAUGUUGGCCGGGCGACGGUUGUCCCGGUUUAAGCGUGUAGGUGUGUGUUCCAGGUAAAUCCGGUUCACUUUAACACUGAGGCGUGACGACGAGGCACUACGGUGCUGAAGCAACAAAUGCCCUGCUUCCAGGAAAAGCCUCUAAGCAUCAGGUAACAUCAAAUCGUACCCCAAACCGACACAGGUGGUCAGGUAGAGAAUACCAAGGCGCUUGAGAGAACUCGGGUGAAGGAACUAGGCAAAAUGGUGCCGUAACUUCGGGAGAAGGCACGCUGACACGUAGGUGAAGUGAUUUACUCAUGGAGCUGAAGUCAGUCGAAGAUACCAGCUGGCUGCAACUGUUUAUUAAAAACACAGCACUGUGCAAACACGAAAGUGGACGUAUACGGUGUGACGCCUGCCCGGUGCCGGAAGGUUAAUUGAUGGGGUCAGCGCAAGCGAAGCUCCUGAUCGAAGCCCCGGUAAACGGCGGCCGUAACUAUAACGGUCCUAAGGUAGCGAAAUUCCUUGUCGGGUAAGUUCCGACCUGCACGAAUGGCGUAAUGAUGGCCAGGCUGUCUCCACCCGAGACUCAGUGAAAUUGAACUCGCUGUGAAGAUGCAGUGUACCCGCGGCAAGACGGAAAGACCCCGUGAACCUUUACUAUAGCUUGACACUGAACAUUGAGCCUUGAUGUGUAG